rnacentral:miRNA from 1 species
AAUUGAUGAUGAUGAUGAUGAUGAUGAUGAUGAUGAUUAUUGGUAUACGAGGUAACGAUCAUACUUCUCCUCAUUAUCACCAUUAUCAAUAAAU